CUCAGCACAGGCUGUGACCCUGGGGCAUACACGGACGCUACAUGCACACAAGGUGUUUGCAAGACGAUCUCUGUUAUAUGGGAGAUGCUGUUCCUUUAUUGAUGGAUGGCCUUAUGUUUGCCUCUGUGAGCUGUCUUUUGCCCCAGCUUUAGGUCCCCUAGUGGAUUUUUAAGGGAUUCGGUUACCUGCAUCUCUAUCCCCGACACGUCUUCUUUUGCCUAGGGACUGUAAUGUGUAUUUGCUCAUGUCAUUAUUGACAUAUUUGGCCUGGACCUGCGGUAUGUUUCCAAUCAACAUGGUUUACUUGUU